rnacentral:rRNA from 1 species
UACGUAGGGGGCAAGCGUUGUUCGGAAUGACUGGGCGUAAAGGGUGCGUAGGCGGUGUAGCAAGUUAGAAGUGAAAUACCUAGAGCUUAACUCAGGUGCUGCUUCUAAAACUGCUAUACUUGAGUGCAGUAGAGGAAAGUGGAAUUCCUAGUGUAGCGGUGGAAUGCGUAGAUAUUAGGAGGAACAUCAGUGGCGAAGGCGACUUUCUGGCCUGUAACUGACACUGAGGCUCGAAAGCGUGGGGAGCAAACAGG